CCAGGACCCCGGGGCUCGAUCCCAAAGCCUCGGCUGGGGCUCGAUCCCAGGACCCCGGGAUCAUGACCUGAGCUGAAGGCAGACGCUUAACGACUGAGCCACCCAGGCGCCCCGAGGAACCUCCGUACUGUUGUCCAGAGUGGCUGCACCAGUUUGCAUUUCCACCAACAGUGUAGGAGCGCUCCCCUUUUUCCGCAUCCCCGCCAACAUCUGUUGUUUCACGUGUUGUUAAUUCUAGCCAUUCUGACAGAUGUGAGGUGGUAUCUCAUCAUGGUUUUGAUCUGUAUUUCCCUGAUGCCGAGUGAUGUUGAGCAUCUUUUCAUGUGUUUGUUAGCCAUCUGGGUGUCUUCCUCGGGAAAGUGUCUAUUCAUGUCUUCUGCCUAUUUCUUAACUGGAUUAUUUGGGUUUUGGGUGUUGAGUUUGAGAAGUUCUUUAUAGAUUUUGGAUACCAACCCUUUAUCAGAUACAUCAUUUGCAAGUAUCUUCUCCCAUUCUGUGGGCUGCCUUUUAGUUUUGUUGAUUGUUUCCUUCACUGUGCAGAAGCUUUUUAUCCUGAUGAGGUCCCAAUAGUUCAUUUUUGCUUUUGUUUCCCUUGCCUCCGGCGACAUGUCUAAUAAGAAGUUGCUACAGCCGAGGUCAAAGAAGUUUCUGCCUCUGUUUUCCUCUAGGAUUUUGAUGGUUUCCUGUCUCACAUUUAGGUCUUUCAUUCAUUUUGAAUUUAUUUUUGUGUAUGGUGUAAGAAAGUGGUCCAGUUUCAUUCUUCUGCGUGUUGCUGUCCAGUUUUCCCAACAUUUGUUGAAGACUGUCUUUUCCCAUUGGAUAUUCUUUCCUGCCUUUUCAAAGAUUAGUUCACCAUAAAGUUGUGGGUCCAAUUCUGGGUUCUCUAUUCUGUUCCACUGAUCUAUGUGUCUGUUUCUGUGCCAGAACCAUACUGUCUUGAUGAUGACAGCUUUGUAAUAGAGUCUGAAGUCCGGAAUCGUAAUGCCACCAGCUUUGGUUUUCUUUUUGAGGGUUGCUUUGGCUAUUCGGGGUCUUUUGUGGUUUCGUACAAAUUUUAGGAUUAUUUGUUUUAGCUCCAUGAAAAAUGCUGGUAUUAUUUUGAUAGGGAUUACAUUAACUGCGUAGGUAGCUUUGGGUAGUAUAGCCAUUUUAACGAUGUUUGUUCUUCCGAUCCAUGAGCAUGGAACGCUUUUCCAUUUCUUUAUGUCGUAUUCGAUUUCUUUUAUGAGUAAACUACAGACCUUUUUCCUCUUUAGUUAGGUUUAGUUAUCUUAUUGUUUUUGGUGCAGUUACAAAUGGGAUCAAUUCCUUGCUUUCUUUUUCUGCUGCUUCAUAAUUGGUGUAUAGAAAUGCAACAGAUUUCUGCACAUUGAUUUUAUAUCCUGCAGCUUUGCUGAAUUCAUGUAUUAGUUCUAGCAGUUUUUUGGUGGAGUCUUUCGGGUUUACAGUAUCAUGUCAUUUGCAAAUAGUGAAAGUUUAACUUCUUCCUUCCUGAUUUGAAUAACUUAUAUUUCUUUUUGUUGUCUGAUUGCUGAGGCUAAGACUUCCAGUACUAUGUUAAAUAGUAAUGGUGAGAGUGGACGUUCCCGUCUCAUUCCUGACUGUAGGGGAAAGGCUCUCAGUUUUUCCCCAUUGAGGAGGAUAUUGGCUGUGGGUCUUUCGUAUAUGGCCUUAUGAUGUUGAGGUAUGUUCCCUCUAUCCCCACUUUGUUGAGGGUUUUUAUCAAGAAAGGAUGCCAUAUUUUGUCAAAUGUUUUUUCUGCAUCUAUUGUGGAUCACAUGGUUCUUAUCCUUUCUUUUAUUAAUGUGAUGUAUCACAUUGAUUGAUUUGUGAAUAAUGAACCACUGCUGUAGCCCAGGAAGAAAUCCCACUUGAUCGUGGUGAAUAUUUCUUUUAACGUACUAUUGAAUUCUCGAUUAUUGAGAAUUUUUGCAUCCAUGUUCAUCACGGAUAUUGGCCUGUCAUUCUCUUUUUUAGUGUGAGAUCCCCCACUCUUAAGGCAGGUUUCUCUCUGCCCAGGCUCUAACCUGGAUGGAAGUCACUCACAGAUCUGGACAGGUCUCUGAAACUCCUCUGAGCCACCAUCACCUUCCUGCCGCUGGGUCAGGUUUUCUGGAGGAGAUCAGCGCAAGAGCAGAAAAAUUCCUCCCAGCUUUCAACAUCAUUGUGAAAUGCAAGAGGACACUUAACUAAGGCUGGUGGUAAAAAUCGUGGUAAAAAUCGUCAGAUUCCUCUCCAAGCCUGGCAGGGGAGGGAGCGUGUGGUGCAAAACUGGGACUUGUUCUCAGCACCACGCUUCUGCCCCCAGAUUGGGCAUUUUAGAAGUGCUGGUUCUCAUGGUUCAGAACUGCUCACGGUUAUAAUUUUGCACAGCUGUGAUUUCUUGCCCAUCUCUUUCUUUGUGCGUCCCCCAAGGCCCAGGAUGUCCUCCUGCCUCCUGGCCCUCCCCCCGUCCCCACACCAGAGUGGGGUCAGCAGAUCAUAGGUGCAUAGUCAGUAGAUGAUGGAUGCAGAAGUUACGUUCGUACUUGCUGAGACACGUGCUGUCGGAUUGGGAAGGUUUCCUGAAUGAAUUUCCACAUCUCCUGGAUGAAGAGGGCGCCUCUUUUUCCAGGAAUUGGAACAUUCAAGAGCUAUAUUGCCAGAAUCCACUUUUUCUUUAGUGCCUAAAAUUUAAGUUCUGGGAACUUAAAACUCCCUUGGUAGAGAUGACUUCCGGUUUUCUUGUAUUCCUCCUGCCUCGCUGGACCAGCGGCCCUGGCUCUGCAGUGAGAGGUGUUGGGCCUGGGGCUCAAGAGGGCCCCUGGUAGGAGAAAUGAAUUGAAGGCAAAAUCAGGGCUCUGAACCGAGCCCCAGGCCUUUUAAACACCUUGUGUUAAUGCAGCAGAAGCUCACCAAAGGCCUUUCAGUAGAAGAGAUUGGACAUUCAAAUCUAAGUACAUUCACUCUGACCUUGGGUUGCAACUUUGCAGGAAAGUCUGACUUGGCUAAAGAUUGCUGACUUGUGUGCUUUAUACUUUGUGGAACACAGUCAGAUUUCAUCCACUGACUGAUUAUUCACCCUUGCCUAAAGUUCUGGCCUCGCCUCUCUGAGUGGGAAGAUUGUCCCCGAAAUCCAGGCCUCCCCUCCCUGACUGGGAAGAUUGUCCCCAAAGUCCAGACCUCCCCUGUCUGACUCUCUGACUGAGAAGAUUGUUCCUUGAAGUCCAGACCUCCCCUCUCUGACUGGGAAGAUUGUCCCUGAAAUCCAGGGUUCCCCUCUCUGACUGGGAAGAUUGUCCCCGAAGUCCAAGCCUCCCCUCUCUGACUGGGAAGAUUGUCCCCGAAGUCCAGACCUCCCCUGACUCUCUGACUGAGAAGAUUGUUCCUGAAGUCCAGACCCCCCCUCUCUGACUGGGAAGAUUGUCCCUGAAAUCCGGGCCUCCCCUCUCUGACUAGGAAGAUUGUCCCCGAAGUCCAGACCUCUCCUGUCUGACUCUGACUGAGAAGAUUGUCCUCUCUGUCUGAGGACCCUGGACUCAGGAGGAGGGAGAAGGACCCCCUCCUGGCUAUCGUAACUGCCAGGCCAGCCCCAGUGCCCGGGGAGCAGCCUCCAUAGGCAGAUACCUUCACCCAGGUCACUGCCUAGAUUCAGAAGAUGGAGUUCUGCAUGGAAAUCGGGAGCAGGGCCUGCUUAGCGGUAGCAGAUACAUCUGGUCUUGCUUUUCUGAGCCAUCCUUUCCUUUGGUUCAUUUUCUGAGCCAGAGGGUAGGCUGGAUCCAAGAAUCAGCAGUUCCUUGUCUCCCUCCCUCUGUUAGUGCUUUUGACCUCUGCUGAGGUUCAGCACGUGCCCCAUGCCUGAGAGACGUACAGCCUCCAUGCUGAUCGGACCUUGACAGCAGUGCUAAGUACCAGCCUGAGCCACUGUCUUCACCGUGGGGAGCCUGCUUCUGUUUUCAGUAUUUGGGGGUCCUCCACCUCGUCCAGCCAGCCUGGGAGUUAUUCAGGCACCUGCUUGUCCCCGUGCUUACUUGAGGACGGUCACCGCAGAAAGUGCCGUUGGCCCGAUCCCAGACUCGCUGGGUCAGAAGCUCCAGUGUGGAGCCAGAAGUCCCACCUCACCAGAGCCUCCAGGUGAUUCUUGGGCACGGUGCCCUAACGUGACAAACAUGCUCGCUGGCACUUACCUUUGGGAUAAAACUGGACCUAUCAGAGGCAUCUUUUCCGCACUAAAAAGCCAUAAUUGAAGUCUAGUCUGGUUUGCUUUUUAGGCAGGGCGUUACGGGUUCAUCUGUUUUGGGGGCAGAAGACUAAGGUGAGAGCAGACUCCCACCAGCUCCCACGGGACAUUUAGCGGUCAAGGACGGAGGCGCUGUAUGCUCUGCGUCCUGCUGAGUGUGGGGAAGGCCAAAGAGGGGCUGUCUCCUCUAGGAGAGGAGGUGGGCAGACAGCAUGCCCACCCGUGAGCUGCUUUCAUCCGCAACAGCUUGCCUGGAACCCAUUUCUGGGACCUCCUGUGCUGGGGUAGGGGACACAGCGACCCUCCCGGGAACACCCCUGUGUGUCCCCACCCCCAUGAAGAGGUAACUGUCCAUCGGUGGUCCGCAUCCAAAGCAGUUAGUGACUAGAUAUUCUAGCAGCCACUGUGAUGGGCAUCUUGAGGUGUCAGCUUGGCCAGGCCACGGGAUCCAGUAAUUCAGCCAAAUACCAAGCUAGGUGCUGUUUUUUGCGGACGUGGGUGCCAUCUACAAUCGGUUGACUUUAAGUAAAGAUUAUUCUCGGUAACGUGGGUGGGCCUCACCCAAGCAGUUGAAAGGCCUUAAGAACAAAGCUGGGGGGGCGCCUGGGUGGCUCAGUUGGUUAAGCGACUGCCUUCGGCUCAGGUCAUGAUCCUGGAGUCCCGGGAUCGGGUCCUGCAUCGGGCUCCCUGCUCAGCGGGGGGUCUGCUUCUCCCUCUGCCCUCUUCCCUCUCGUGCUCUCUGUCUCUCAUUCUCUCUCUCAAAUAAAUAAAUAAAAUCUUUAAAAAAAAAAAAAAAAAAGAACAAAGCUGGGGUUUUCCUGAGGAGGAAGAGAUCCCACCUGUGGACUGCAGUAUCCGCUCCUGCCUGAGAGCCACCAGCCUGCCAGGCGGCCCUAGCCAGCCCCACAGUCAUGUGAGCCAGUUCCUUGAAAUAAACCUCUUCGUCUGUAUCUCCUUCUGCUUCUGCUUCCCCGGUAGGAUUCUGACUGCUGCACUCUCUCAGGGGUGCCCAGGAUGGGGGAGCAAGCUGGGGUUGCUCUGUUCUCUCGCUCCCUGUUCGUAUAGUCAUGCGGGUUUAACUACUGUCGCUUCCUAACUUUUUCUCUUCCAGGGAAGUGCUGACUUGGUUUGUUGUAUUUUUUUUUUCUCCUGGUCAGUGAGUCGCGGGCCAGCCCGGUUGGGAUCUGUCGCCGGUCCCCACUGUGUCCAGCGCCCCGUCCUUCCUCCCUGCACUCCCUUCCUAUCCACAGGUCCGCGGGAGCAGCAGAACCGGCCUCCCCGCUGAGUCAUCAGCAGGGCCAGCUGUGAGUGUUUCUUUGGCAGUGUCUUAGCUGGUUGUUGUGAGUAAUAGUGAAGGAAGCAAUCAGCAAGUAUACUGCCCUAGAAGUGCUGCACGUUGAUGGGCCCCAGAGGGAAGAGACAGCAAGAGGCGCCCGGGGCCAGCGUGAGCGCCAGAGCCAGGAUGUUGGAAGCUCUUCUCCGCCAUGUUGGUUGGUAAG